GUGGGGAAUCUUGCGCAAUGGGCGAAAGCCUGACGCAGCCAUGCCGCGUGAAUGAUGAAGGUCUUAGGAUUGUAAAAUUCUUUCACCGGGGACGAUAAUGACGGUACCCGGAGAAGAAGCUCCGGCUAACUUCGUACCAGCAGCCGCGGUAAUACGAAGGGGGCUAGCGUUGCUCGGAAUUACUGGGCGUAAAGGGCGCGUAGGCGGACAGCUUAGUCAGAGGUGAAAGCCCAGGGCUCAACCUUGGAAUUGCCUUUGAUACUGGCUGUCUUGAGUUUGGGAGAGGUGAGUGGAACUCCGAGUGUAGAGGUGAAAUUCGUAGAUAUUCGGAAGAACACCAGUGGCGAAGGCGACUCACUGGCCCAAUACUGACGCUGAGGCGCGAAAGCGUGGGGAGCAAACAGGAUUAGAUACCCCGGUAGUCC
rnacentral:rRNA from 1 species